AUAAUAGCCAAAACUAUAGGUUCUAGUGGGGAACAGCCACUAGGAGUAAUGGGGAAAGUUCGGUGUAAAUCCGGCACUGUCCCGCAACUGUAAUCAGAUUUAAGGCAAAUUUUUCCACCCAAUCUGUGAGUCAGGAUGCCCGCCUAUAGUUAUUUCUCACU
rnacentral:ncRNA from 2 species